GGUAGCGUGGCCGAGUGGUCUAAGGUGCUGGCUGCAGGCUGCAGUCAUUUUGAUGGCAUGGGUUUGAAUCUCACCGCUGCCA